GUCUGGCAAAAGACACCUGAUUGAUGUUCCGCUUUCCCACGGACGACGGUCCACUCUCCUGGUCCCGGAGCGCCAACCCAGAGGUGGGAUAGAGGGGGGAGGGGAUUUGUUAACUGUCCCAAGCUGGUCUCGAACUCCUGGCAAUCCUUCCUGCCACAGCCCCGGCCCUCUCGUCCCGAUUGCUGGAAUUGCAGGCUUGAGCCAUCACUCCCUGCAAAAGCUGGGUAUUUAAUGAAGCCAUCAUUAUGUCAAGAGCCUGAAAAGCCUUCAAAUAUCAACCAUCACGAUCAUUAUCCCAAUCAUAAAGUGCUUCUUCGGGGCGGGGCUCCCCCUCAAGCUUCAACGACAGAUGCACUAGCUGCAGCCCAGUGCCUCUAAUGUUGCAGUCUAUGGAAGACUCGCCACUCUCCUCACAACCCUCUUCAGCCGCAAACAUCACCAGGCAGGAGAACGGGGCCGGGGGGAGGGGGGGGCUGGUGACUGAGUGAGCCCCUCUCCCAUGAACUUAAGCCUAAUAAAAUUCAGAUCUCACCUUUCCACCACCACAGUCAAAAGGCUGGGGAGAGCUGGGCAUAGUGGCGCAUGCCUUUAACCUA